rnacentral:rRNA from 1 species
WCGCAGCACGCCGCGUGAAGGAKGAAGGCUUUCGAGUCGUAAACUUCUGUUCUGGGGGACGAUAAUGACKGUACCCCAKCAGCAAGSCCCGGSUAACUCCGUGCCAGCRGCCGCGGUAAUACGGGGGGGGCGAGCGUUGUUCGGAAUUACUGGGCGUAAAGGGCGCGCAGGCGGGCCGAGAAGUUUUAGGUGAAAGCCCCGGGCUCAACCCGGGAAGGUCCUAGGAAACCAUCGGUCUAGAGUGCUGGAGGGGCCAGCGGAAUUUCUGGUGUAGCGGUGAAAUGCGUAGAUAUCAKAAGGAACACCRGAGGSGAARGSGGCUGGCUGGACAGACACUGACSCUGAGGCGCGAAAGCCAGGGGAGCAAACGGGAUUAGAUACCCCGGKAGKCCUGGCCGUAAACRAUGGGUACUUGGUGUAGGUGGUGCGAGGCCAUCUGUGCCAGCGAUAACUCGUUAAGUGCCCCSCCUGGGGAGUACGAUCGCAAGAUUGAAACUCAAARGAAUUGACGGGGACCCGCACAAGCGGUGGAGCAUGUGGUUUAAUUCSACGCARCGCRAARAACCUUWCCGGGGUUUGAACUGUUGWGGACGCGUGGCAGAGAUGUGCGUUUCUCUUCGGAGACUGCAAMAGAGGUGCUGRMUGGYUGUCGWCASCUCGUGUCGUGAGAUGKUGKGUUAASUSCCGCAACSAGCGCAACCCUUGUCUGUWGUUGCCAUC